GACAGAGGGUGCAAACGUUGUUCGGAAUUACUGGGCGUAAAGCGCGUGUAGGCGGCCCUGCAAGUCGGAUGUGCAAUCCCACGGCUCAACCGUGGAAGUGCAUUCGAAACUGCAGGGCUAGAGUCCUGGAGAGGAAGGUGGAAUGCUUGGUGUAGAGGUGAAAUUCGUAGAUAUCAAGCGGAACACCGGUGGCGAAGGCGGCCUUCUGGACAGUGACUGACGCUGAGACGCGAAAGCGUGGGGAGCAAACAGG
rnacentral:rRNA from 1 species